rnacentral:rRNA from 1 species
GACGAACGCUGGCGGCGUGCUUAACACAUGCAAGUCGAACGGAAAGGCCCUGCUUUUGUGGGGUGCUCGAGUGGCGAACGGGUGAGUAACACGUGAGUAACCUGCCCUUGACUUUGGGAUAACUUCAGGAAACUGGGGCUAAUACCGGAUAGGAGCUCCUGCUGCAUGGUGGGGGUUGGAAAGUUUCGGCGGUUGGGGAUGGACUCGCGGCUUAUCAGCUUGUUGGUGGGGUAGUGGCUUACCAAGGCUUUGACGGGUAGCCGGCCUGGGAGGGUGACCGGCGACAUGAGUACUAAGAUACGGACCAGACUCGUACGGGCGGCAGAAGUGGGGAGUAUUGCACAAUGGGCGGAAGCCUGAUGCAGCAACGCCGCGUGCGGGAUGACGUCCUUCUGGUUGUAAACCGCUUUCGCCUGUGACGAAGCGUGAGUGACGGUAAUGGGUAAAGAAGCACCGGCUAACUACGUG